rnacentral:lncRNA from 12 species
CUACAUAGGAGAGUGCCUGUUUCUCCACAACCUUGCCCACCCAGUGUAUUAUCACACCUUCUUUUUUAACCUUGGUUAAUUUGAGAGAGAAAACAGUUUUCAUUUGCAUUUUUUUUUGAUUGUGAGUACAAAUCUGAGAAUACUUCUCAAAAAUUAUAGGUCAGCAAUGAAACUGAGAAUUUUCUAAAUCCUGCUUGACACUGGCUCUCUUUUGAUAAAGGGAUCCCAGAGAAUUUACUGUUAGAGGAGUAAAUUUAUGUUGUUCGGGUUCUUAUAUAAAACGUAGCAAUCAACUAUUUUAACAAGAGACAGUUUCAUAGAUAGGUUUCAUUUUUCAAAAAAGGGGAAGAAACACCAUUCUGUGGCUCAAUGUGGGUUUGUCAGUUAUUGCCUCCCCCUUCCUGGGACUUCCCACUGUUCUUGAGCACAAAUCAGACUUGAGCAAAAACAACUCCCUUUCCAUGGGAUCAGUUAUAAGAAGAAUGGCCAUGCAAUGAGCCACUUAGUUUCUUGGUCGUACCACUGGAAGGCUUGCACACAUUUCUGAAAAAAAAAGCACUGGCUGGCUUAUUCACCUCUAUAUGGUCGAUUGCUGUUUCUUCCGGACCAAAGGAGCAGAUUGGUUAGUGAAGAUUAUUGGAUACUGAUUUGAGACAUCCUUGGUUGGAGAAAUAUUUGGAAGGUAAAUUCACCAGGACUGUUAACUGUUUAGGUGUGAGAUCAGAGAGACGGUCAAGAGUCCCAAAAGUUUCCCUAUUUUUAGCAGAGAGACUUCCAUGUGCAAGGAAGUUUAAAUUAAUUUCACAGGAAGAUACACUAGUGUCAGUGGGUGGAGUAACUGUGGGAAAGGACAAGGAUUUCUCAUUUGUGAAAUGCUGUUUCUGUGCUGGUCUCCAAGCUGGUACUUUACAUACCAAUUUCCACUUAGUAUAACAAAGAUAUUUCUCUAAAGCACAAUUGUUUGAAAAUAAAAAGUGGCACCUGAGGAGGAUGAAAAUGCCU